AUUGAACGCUGGCGGCAGGCCUAACACAUGCAAGUCGAACGAGCGGCGGACGGGUGAGUAAUGUAUGGGGAUCUGCCUGAUGGCGGGGGAUAACUACUGGAAACGGUAGCUAAUACCGCAUACCAUCAGAUGAACCCAUAUGGGAUUAGCUAGUAGGUGAGGUAAAGGCUUACCUAGGCGACGAUCCCUAGCUGGUCUGAGAGGAUGACCAGCCAAACUGGGACUGAGACACGGCCCAGAUUCCUACGGGAGGCAGCAGUGGGGAAUAUUGCACAAUGGGCGCAAGCAUGAUGCAGCCAUGCCGCGUGUAUGAAGAAGGCCUUCGGGUUGUAAAGUACUUUCAGUGGGGAGGCGUUACCGGCAGAAGAAGCACCGGCUAACUCCGUGCCAGCAGCCGCGGUAAUUC
rnacentral:rRNA from 1 species